rnacentral:rRNA from 1 species
AAUCAACGCUGGCGGCAUGCCUAACACAUGCAAGUCGAACGCGAAAGUUCCUUCGGGAAUGAGUAGAGUGGCGUCCGGGUGAGUAACGCGUGGGUAAUCUGCCUUUGGGUGGGGAAUAACCCAGGGAAACUUGGGCUAAUACCGCAUAAUGCAGCGGCUCGACAUCGAGACAGUUGUUAAAGCCUCUCGCAAGAGGGGCGCCUAAGGAGGAGCCUGCGUCUGAUUAGCAGUUGGUGGGGUAAUGGCCUACCAAGGCUACGAUCAGUAGCU